rnacentral:rRNA from 1 species
AUACAGAGGGUGCAAGCGUUAAUCGGAUUUACUGGGCGUAAAGCGCGCGUAGGCGGCUAAUUAAGUCAAAUGUGAAAUCCCCGAGCUUAACUUGGGAAUUGCAUUCGAUACUGGUUAGCUAGAGUGUGGGAGAGGAUGGUAGAAUUCCAGGUGUAGCGGUGAAAUGCGUAGAGAUCUGGAGGAAUACCGAUGGCGAAGGCAGCCAUCUGGCCUAUCACUGACGCUGAGGUGCGAAAGCAUGGGGAGCAAACAGGAUUAGAUACCCCAGUAGUCC